rnacentral:rRNA from 1 species
CCUACGAGUGGCAGCAGUGGGGAAUAUUGCACAAUGGGGGAAACCCUGAUGCAGCGACGCCGCGUGAGUGAAGAAGUAAUUCGUUAUGUAAAGCUCUAUCAGCAGGGAAGAAAAUGACGGUACCUGAGUAAGAAGCCCCGGCUAACUACGUGCCAGCAGCCGCGGUAAUACGGAGGGGGCCAGCGUUAUCCGGAUUUACUGGGUGUAAAGGGAGCGUAGACGGGAGUGCAAGUCUGGUGUGAAAGGCGGGGGGCUAACCCCCGGACUGCGGUGGAAACUGGACGGCUGGAGUGCAGGAGAGGUAAGUGGAAUGCGUGGUGUAGCGGUGAAAUGCGUAGAUAUUAGGAAGAACACCAGUGGCGAAGGCGGCUUACUGGACUGUAACUGACGUUGAGGCUCGAAAGCGUGGGGAGCAAACAGGAUUAGAUACCCGAGUAGUC